AACGAACGCUGGCGGCAUGCCUAACACAUGCAAGUCGAACGAGACCUUCGUGUCUAGUUGCGCUCCUGUACUUAACACCUGGUAACCUGCCCUUAGGUUCCGUAUACCUCCCCGUAAGGUGUGCUCAUACCGCUUAAUCUCUUCCCACCAAAGAUUUCUGGCGUUUGGAUGGGCGCGAGUUGGUUUCGCUGGUUGGUAGGGUAAUAGCCUACCAAGGCGAGGAUCCAUGGCUGGUCUGAUAGGAGGCGAAGCCAGACUGGGACUGAGGCACGGACCAGAAUGCGACGGGAGGCAGGAGUGGGGAAUAUAGGAGAAUGGGCGAAGGCCUGAUCCAGCAAUGCCGGGUAAGUGAUGAAGGCCUUAGGGUUGUAAAGCUCUUUGACACGGGAUGAUAAUGACAGUAACGGGAGAAUAAGCACCGGCUAACUCCGUG
rnacentral:rRNA from 1 species